AAAACUCAGUUCAACCCAUAAUUGUAUCAAAUCAUAGAUCAGGUACAAUGAACUAGCAGUAAUGACUUUAAUUCAAUGAAAGUUUUAAGUUUACAAGGGAAAGUCAUAACUUCAUAUAUACGGCUAAUCACAAAUAUAAUACCGUAAAGAAAUCAGAACCGCUACCAUAUAUUAGAUGGGUAUCAAUCCAGCAACUAAUGCAAACAAGGGAACGUAACGGAUCUCCUUGUUUUCACAUUCAAAAUGAAAAAGAAAAUAAAACAACCAAAAGAUAAUCCCAACACAUGGCCCUCAUCACUACAAGCAACAAAAGAUGUGCGGUUCUUGAAUAACCAAUAAAAAACGAGAAAACAAAAAAUGAAGAAAAACAUAUGAUAUCCACCAGGGUCACGAAAAUCGCAAGGUAGUAGCAAUAAAAACCAAAUAUAAGCAACGCGUAAUACCCUUCAACCGCGAACGGACCAAAGCUGAAAGAACAGAGCCAAGCACCUCCAGAUCUACCAUCAUCAAGAUUCAUUUUCUUUACAAUAACGCAUUAUUAACGAGUAUUGACAGCACCAAGUUUCGGGUUUUUAAUUACUGUUUACACAAACUGAUAUAGCUGAUAACGCCGGUUUACAGCAAAUAUACCACCUAUCAAACCACUAAUCCGUUUUCAUCAUUUAAUAUAAAUCCGGAAAUUCAACGGAUCUAUCAAUCCAGAUCCAAUCAUAUCAUUUCCAAAUUUUGCAAAACAAAAUAUUAAAACACAACGAAAAAAAAAACCCUGGAAAUAAAAAUCACACAGAAAAUAAAAAACUAUAGUAAACAACAAGGAACACCAAACAAAACCCAGAUAGAAUCUAUUACAUAUAACUGGAAAUGACUAAGAGAAGAACCCUAGAGUGUAAGAUGCAAUAGAACCAAACAGAUCAACCAUAAAAUACCUUGAAAAGUCACAGAUUGAGAACAAAUAUAUUUAUUUAUUAAUUAAUUAAGCAGAUAAGAACAGAUUAACCUAAACAAUAAACAGAACAAUCAGAUAUGUAAAAAAAAAAGCCUAAUACUUAAUAAAAAUUAAAAAUUAAAAAUUAAAAAGCAGAAAAUGAAGGUACCUGAUUGAUUGAUAUCAUGUGGUUGUAGGAGGCAUUGGAGCUCCUGAAGCACUCUCUGAUUGCUCAGACAGAGAGAAAAGAGAGAUUUUUUUUCUUUUCUUUUACGGGUCAGAGGAGAGAGAAGAAGAUAGAGUGGUGGCCACUAGCUGGCUGUAGGGACAAGGAUAUCAAGAGAAGCAAGCAACAGUGACCUAUUUAACUAGGGUUAGGUUACGUUUUAACCGCGGUUGAUGCGUGGGGUAAUCUCUUGGUUUUUGGAUGUGGAAUAAAUGAAGGGGUAAUUGAUUUCAUUUUUGUUUGUUUGGGUUGCAUCUUCAGAGAAAUGUCAAAAAUUCCAUUCAGUAAUAACAGUAAAAUAAAAAGACAAUGCUAAUGAUUUCUAAUCGAAAUGUCAAUUUAUAUGUAGCAUAACGUGAAAUAACAGCUAAACUUUAGAAUUUAUGAGAGUGUCAUGUGGCUAUCAAAUUUGAUAUCCCGAGUCGUAUUAUUAAAUUUGGAUAGAAUAGUUUACAACAUUCACUAGGAUAUAGAAUAACUAUUUAGAAAAUUAUGUAGUUUUCUUUAGAAAUGUUUUUUUAAUUGAGGUACACAUCAUUAUGUACAAACUCUAGUUUUUUUUUUUUUUUUUUGUAAAAACACUAUUAUCUAUACUAAGACCAUCUCCAACUUUUGGAGAUAAAACUUAAAAAUUUAAGCCAAAAAAUUUUACGCCAUAACCUAGAAAUUACUUUUAUCUUCCAAUCCUUAUGGCUUAAAAUUUUAGCUCGAGAUUAUUAACUAAUGAUUUUAGCCUUUUUUUUUAGUAACUUUUCUGAAAAUAAAAUUUAUAUAGACUAUCUUAAUUUAUUUUGAUGAACAUUUUAAUCUAAAAAUAUUCACAUUCCAAUAAGUAAUUAAAAAUCAUACAAAUACACAGAUAUUUAUAAAGUUUUAAGUGAAAUUUGAUUUUAAAUAAUUUAAGACCUUAGAUGUCACAUCCUGGCCCGGGUCCUUUCCACCACCGUAGCACAAUAUUGUCUCUUCGGGCUUACCAUUCCCUCACGGUUUUGUUUUUGGGAACUCAUGAGCAACUUCUCAGUGGGUCACCCAUCCUGGGAAUGCUCUGACCUAAUUCUCGCUUAACUUCAGAGUUCUUACAAAACUCGAAGCCAGUGAGCUCCUAAAAGCCCUCGUGCUAGGUAUGGAUGAGAAUAUAUAUUUAAGGAUCACUCUUCUGAGCAAUGUGGGAUGUUACAAUCCACCCCCUUAGGGGCCCGACGUCCUCGUCAGCACACUUCCGGCCAGGAAUUGGCUUUGAUACCAAAUUGUCACAUCCUGGUCUGGGCCCACCACAUCCCGGGCAUGUUCCACCACCGUAGCACAAUAUUGUCCGCUUUGGGCUUACCAUUCCAUCACGGUUUUGUUUUUGGAAACUCACGAGCAACUUUCCAGUGGGUCACCCAUCCUGGGAGUGCUCUGGCCUCCUUCUCGCUUAACUUCGGAGUUCCUACAGAACCCAAAACCAGUGAGCUCACAAAAGGCCUCGUGCUAGGUAGGGAUGAGAAUAUACAUUUAAGGAUCACUCCCCCAAGCGAUGUGGGAUUUAAGGAUCACUCUCCUUGACGAUGUGGGAUGUUACAUUAGAUUUACUUUUGAGCCAUCAAAAUUUUUUUAUUAAAUAAAACUAAUAAAAAUGGUUUGAAAACUUUGAGUUUUAACGAUAAAGACAAAAUAAAGGGUAAAGUGAAUAGUAUCAUGAUUGACUUUUUAGUGUAAAAAUAUGAUUUUUCGUUAAAAUGAACAGUACCAGAAACUUUUCGUUAAAGUUCCCUUUUGAUUACCAUUAUAUUUGAUCUCAUUUAAUCACAGUCGUUAGAUUAUAAGUAAAAUUGAAAUAUGACAGUUUGAUGGGUCCAAAAUAGUUUUAAGUCAGGCUUAAAUCAUGUGGGAAUUUAGCCCAGAAAUAUAUUUUAUUCCCAUAACUUUAUUUUAGCCAAAUAGUUGGAGAUGGUCUAAAGAAGUAUGAGAGUGGACUAAGCCUCACAAUAGCCUAUCAAUAAUGUUGUUCAAAUUCGCUUUUGAUGAGAUUUGAACCUAAAACUUCUCAGUUAUAAGUGAAAAAUAAUAUCACUAUACUGUAGUACAAAAUGACUAUAUAUAACCUCUAGUUUAAUGUCUCUUUGUUGCUUAAAGACUUUGUAUGUUGUAGUUAGAAGUGACGUUUUCGUCUUGAAAAAAGUUAGAUGUGACGCCAGUGUGUACUUUUUUGUUAUUGAUGUCUCUUGAUGACAUCAAGCAACGUAUUUUUAAAUAAAAAAAAGUUUUUCUAAAUAUUCACCUUUGAGUUUGGAUGGAUUUGUAUACUAUCCUAUGUUCUAUCUUAAAUUUUUUUAAUAAAGCAUCUUACUUAACAAAAAUUUGAGAAUCAUAUACUCCAUCUAUGCAUGACAUGUCCCAUUUUUUAAGACAAAUGAACAGAAAAUGGUAUAAAUUGUUCCUUAAUUUUAACUUAAAUAGAGUAAUGAUUUAUCAAUUAAAAAUUCAUAAUCAUGGAUCUUUUUUUUUUUCCUGUUGAAAUGACCAUUGGUCUCUUAAUUCAUCAAAACGUGCAUCUACAGUUUUUUUUGUCAACUCCGUCAGAGUUCGGUCAAAAUGAGUCAUGUAGAAAAGAUCAUUGCUAUAAUUUGAUUAAAGUUGAUGGACUAUUGCUCCAAUUGAGUUAAAAUUGAGAAAUCAUUUCUCCAAUUGUGUUAAAGUUAAGGGAUUAUUGGUACAAUUUUCUCAUUUGAUUUUUCAUAUUUGCCUUUUAGUCCAGCCUUAGGUGCUUGGCACAGACUCAUUUUAACAAAAAAAACCUAACGAAACUGACGAAAAAAAUGGUAGGUGCACGAUUUGAUCACUAUUGCGUGGGCCGCAAAUAGUCUUAUCUUAUAUAGCUGCGAGCAUAGAACUCAAUGAAACAGAUUAUUAUGAGGUCAAUCUUUGAGUUAUAUUAUAAUUAAAAACUAAAAGAAAAUUAAAAGGGGGAUUUGGGCAAAGCUUAGCCCAAUAACCCCAUCUCUUCCUCGACUUCAUCCCAUCUCCUCUGUGCUUGUCUGCAACCAAUAAUCCCAUCUGGGUUCGGGAAGCUUCUUCUGCCGCCCUAUAGAUCUUCAACCUCUUCUUCCACGUGCAACCUUCUUCCUCCCUGAACUUCUUCCCUCCCUUAGUUUGUUCCUGCGAUUGUUCCUCCGCGCUUGUUCCUGUGAUUGACGCUGUCUUGCAUUGUCAACUCCUUCCUUUCCCUUCAUUUGUUCUUUCAGCCUCUUCAGAUUGUCAGAGGCGCCACUCACUGGUUUUCCUUUUUCAGGGAUAAUUCCAUAAACAAAACCCUGAGCUUUGCAAACUUCCAUCAUUUUCAGCAUAUAUUUCAGGAUUCCAUCUUGUGCCCGUGACAUCUUCUUCCUCCGCGCUUGUUCCUGUGAUUGACGCUGUCUUGCAUUGUCAACUGCUUCCUUUCCCUUAGUUUGUUCUUUCAGCCCCUUCAGUAGCAUUCGAUCUCUCCACAUCCUCUUCUCGAGCUCAUCAACAUCCAUUUCUUCAUCACUAUAAUCCUCCUCCACAGUUGCCUCUUGUUCAUGUUCUGGAGCUGCAUCCCCUUCCCCAGAUGGAGCCAAAAGAUAGUCAAGAUUACCAGAGAAACCUAACUCCUCAAAGAUCACCAUUUAGCACCGACACAAACCACGUCAACUUCUCCGCCCUUCUCUCACUUGUAAAAAGAUUUCCAAUCUUGCGCACAGUACUUAGCUUUAAAACUCCUAAGAGCCAAGGUUUGCCACUCAACCCGGAAAUGUAAAGAAAAUCAAAUCUUCUGCAAAUGAAAUAAAUUACAAAAAAACUCAGUUCAACCCAAAAUUGUAGCAAAUCAUAGAUCAGGUACAACGAACUAGCAGUAAUGACUUUAAUUCAAUGAAAGUUUUAAGUUUACGGCUAAUCACAAAUACGGCUAAUCACAAAUAUAAUACCGUAAAGAAAUCAGAACCGCUACCAUAUAUUAUAUGGGUAUCAAUCCAGCAACUAAUGCAAACAAGGGAACGUAACGGAUCUCCUUGUUUUCACAUUCAAAAUGAAAAAGAAAAUAAAACAACCAAAAGAUAAUCCCAACACAUGGCCAUCAUCACUACAAGCAACAAAAGAUGCGGUUCUUGAACAACCAAUAAAAAACGAGAAAACAACAAAAUGAAGAAAAACAUAUGAUAUCCACCAGGGUCACGAAAAUCGCAAGGUAGUAGCAAUAAAAACCAAAUAUAAGUAACGCGUAAUACCCUUCAACUGUGAACGGGCUAAAGCUGAAAGAACAGAGCCAAGCACCUCCAGAUCUACCAUCAUCCAGAUUCAUUUUCUUUACAAUAACGCAUUACUAACGAGUAUUGACAGCACCAAGUUUCGGGUUUUUAAUUACUGUUUACACAAACUGAUAUAGCUGAUAACGCCGGUUUACAGCAAAUAUACCACCUAUCAAACCACUAAUCCGUUUUCAUCAUUUAAUAUAAAUCCGGAAAUUCAACGGAUCUAUCGAUCCAGAUCCAAACAUAUCAUUUCCAAAUUUUGCAAAACAAAAUAUUAAAACACAACGAAAAAAAAAAAAACCCUGGAAAUAUAAAUCACACAGAAAAUUAAAAACUAUAGUAAACAACAAGGAACACCAAACAAAACCCAGAUAGAAUCUAUUACAUAUAACUGGAAAUGACUAAGAGAAGAACCCUAGAGUGUAUGAUGCAGUGGAACCAAAC
rnacentral:lncRNA from 1 species